GGUGGUCUCUGAUUAGAGAUUCUUCCCUUGUGGAGUUUUUCCCUCUGAGCCUGGGUAUUUGGAUACAGUGUUCCUGUGAGUAUGGUGUACAGUCUGAACGUGCAUUGAUAGUUCCUGUUCCUUUUGGCUAACCAGUAUGAAGAGUCCAGUUGCCAAAACAAUCUGAUGUAUUGAAUGAAGUCUGCUUCUGCUCUAUGAACAGUCCUGAGGCAACAGUUAUUGCAGAGCAGGAGGCAUGCUGCUGGGUCUACUGCGAGCGGACUCCCACUGUUCAUCUUAAUUGUGCUAAAGAAGAACCUGAGGGAAGAAGGGCUGCCUAAGACUGAGGUUCCCUUUUUUAACCUCUGCAGUGAUUUGAAGAGGAUUGCCAUUGCACCCUGAAAGUUCACCAAUUCAAAUAUGCUAUAUUUCUGGGAAGAGAGGCCCAAGCUAUCAUUGGAUUACUUUUCAGGCAGCUCAGCUAACGUGAUGACUGCUGCUAUAACGAAGAUCUGGGAGAAUGGGGCAGGACUUCCCCUUAAACCGUCUUCUGACAUAAUUGUCAGAACAUGCCAUCAAAGAUAUUCUGGCUUUACAAAAUUAUUCCUGUUUUUAAGCCAUAAGGCCAGAUGUGCUUUUCAGAGGCUUCACAUGGCUUCCCUUACAAAUCUGUGCCUUCAUAGUGGAUUGAAAAUGCAAAAGAACUGAUACAGCGCAAACCAAUGAGACAUUUUCACAACAAUUCCACACAUUAUAUUGAUUCUUCUGUUAUCUUGAGCGAAAAGUAAUUGUACUAAGAAUUUUUUGAAGCCUGGGUGUUAUUUCCAUCCACUAUUGUCUAUCCCCAGGGAUAAAUCAGAGUAGCUCUACAAUUUGCCUUCUGCAAAAGUGGACAAGCAUGAAGAAGAGAGGCACGUAUAAUGAAUUUCAUUGCAAGAAUGGCAGGGUCUCCGCCUCUUGAGACUGUGCCAGAGAAACCAAUGAAAAGUUUGUUCUCAGGACCUACUAACUUUUAAGUGAAAAUUAAAGAUGCAUAACUCUUUGUAUUCUGGGAUCCCAUGAGACUUAUAGUGGGAGAAUGGAUUCCUGAAAUAAAUGUAUUCCUUUUUUGCCCCAGCU
ensembl:lncRNA